AGCGUACACGGUGGAUGCCCUGGCAGUCAGAGGCGAUGAAGGACGUGCUAAUCUGCGAUAAGCGUCGGUAAGGUGAUAUGAACCGUUAUAACCGGCGAUUUCCGAAUGGGGAAACCCAGUGUGUUUCGACACACUAUCAUUAACUGAAUCCAUAGGUUAAUGAGGCGAACCGGGGGAACUGAAACAUCUAAGUACCCCGAGGAAAAGAAAUCAACCGAGAUUCCCCCAGUAGCGGCGAGCGAACGGGGAGCAGCCCAGAGCCUGAAUCAGUGUGUGUGUUAGUGGAAGCGUCUGGAAAGGCGCGCGAUACAGGGUGACAGCCCCGUACACAAAAAUGCACAUGCUGUGAGCUCGAUGAGUAGGGCGGGACACGUGGUAUCCUGUCUGAAUAUGGGGGGACCAUCCUCCAAGGCUAAAUACUCCUGACUGACCGAUAGUGAACCAGUACCGUGAGGGAAAGGCGAAAAGAACCCCGGCGAGGGGAGUGAAAAAGAACCUGAAACCGUGUACGUACAAGCAGUGGGAGCACGCUUAGGCGUGUGACUGCGUACCUUUUGUAUAAUGGGUCAGCGACUUAUAUUCUGUAGCAAGGUUAACCGAAUAGGGGAGCCGAAGGGAAACCGAGUCUUAACUGGGCGUUAAGUUGCAGGGUAUAGACCCGAAACCCGGUGAUCUAGCCAUGGGCAGGUUGAAGGUUGGGUAACACUAACUGGAGGACCGAACCGACUAAUGUUGAAAAAUUAGCGGAUGACUUGUGGCUGGGGGUGAAAGGCCAAUCAAACCGGGAGAUAGCUGGUUCUCCCCGAAAGCUAUUUAGGUAGCGCCUCGUGAAUUCAUCUCCGGGGGUAGAGCACUGUUUCGGCAAGGGGGUCAUCCCGACUUACCAACCCGAUGCAAACUGCGAAUACCGGAGAAUGUUAUCACGGGAGACACACGGCGGGUGCUAACGUCCGUCGUGAAGAGGGAAACAACCCAGACCGCCAGCUAAGGUCCCAAAGUCAUGGUUAAGUGGGAAACGAUGUGGGAAGGCCCAGACAGCCAGGAUGUUGGCUUAGAAGCAGCCAUCAUUUAAAGAAAGCGUAAUAGCUCACUGGUCGAGUCGGCCUGCGCGGAAGAUGUAACGGGGCUAAACCAUGCACCGAAGCUGCGGCAGCGACGCUUAUGCGUUGUUGGGUAGGGGAGCGUUCUGUAAGCCUGCGAAGGUGUGCUGUGAGGCAUGCUGGAGGUAUCAGAAGUGCGAAUGCUGACAUAAGUAACGAUAAAGCGGGUGAAAAGCCCGCUCGCCGGAAGACCAAGGGUUCCUGUCCAACGUUAAUCGGGGCAGGGUGAGUCGACCCCUAAGGCGAGGCCGAAAGGCGUAGUCGAUGGGAAACAGGUUAAUAUUCCUGUACUUGGUGUUACUGCGAAGGGGGGACGGAGAAGGCUAUGUUGGCCGGGCGACGGUUGUCCCGGUUUAAGCGUGUAGGCUGGUUUUCCAGGCAAAUCCGGAAAAUCAAGGCUGAGGCGUGAUGACGAGGCACUACGGUGCUGAAGCAACAAAUGCCCUGCUUCCAGGAAAAGCCUCUAAGCAUCAGGUAACAUCAAAUCGUACCCCAAACCGACACAGGUGGUCAGGUAGAGAAUACCAAGGCGCUUGAGAGAACUCGGGUGAAGGAACUAGGCAAAAUGGUGCCGUAACUUCGGGAGAAGGCACGCUGAUAUGUAGGUGAAGUCCCUCGCGGAUGGAGCUGAAAUCAGUCGAAGAUACCAGCUGGCUGCAACUGUUUAUUAAAAACACAGCACUGUGCAAACACGAAAGUGGACGUAUACGGUGUGACGCCUGCCCGGUGCCGGAAGGUUAAUUGAUGGGGUUAGCGCAAGCGAAGCUCUUGAUCGAAGCCCCGGUAAACGGCGGCCGUAACUAUAACGGUCCUAAGGUAGCGAAAUUCCUUGUCGGGUAAGUUCCGACCUGCACGAAUGGCGUAAUGAUGGCCAGGCUGUCUCCACCCGAGACUCAGUGAAAUUGAACUCGCUGUGAAGAUGCAGUGUACCCGCGGCAAGACGGAAAGACCCCGUGAACCUUUACUAUAGCUUGACACUGAACAUUGAGCCUUGAUGUGUAGGAUAGGUGGGAGGCUUUGAAGUGUGGACGCCAGUCUGCAUGGAGCCGACCUUGAAAUACCACCCUUUAAUGUUUGAUGUUCUAACGUUGACCCGUAAUCCGGGUUGCGGACAGUGUCUGGUGGGUAGUUUGACUGGGGCGGUCUCCUCCUAAAGAGUAACGGAGGAGCACGAAGGUUGGCUAAUCCUGGUCGGACAUCAGGAGGUUAGUGCAAUGGCAUAAGCCAGCUUGACUGCGAGCGUGACGGCGCGAGCAGGUGCGAAAGCAGGUCAUAGUGAUCCGGUGGUUCUGAAUGGAAGGGCCAUCGCUCAACGGAUAAAAGGUACUCCGGGGAUAACAGGCUGAUACCGCCCAAGAGUUCAUAUCGACGGCGGUGUUUGGCACCUCGAUGUCGGCUCAUCACAUCCUGGGGCUGAAGUAGGUCCCAAGGGUAUGGCUGUUCGCCAUUUAAAGUGGUACGCGAGCUGGGUUUAGAACGUCGUGAGACAGUUCGGUCCCUAUCUGCCGUGGGCGCUGGAGAACUGAGGGGGGCUGCUCCUAGUACGAGAGGACCGGAGUGGACGCAUCACUGGUGUUCGGGUUGUCAUGCCAAUGGCACUGCCCGGUAGCUAAAUGCGGAAGAGAUAAGUGCUGAAAGCAUCUAAGCACGAAACUUGCCCCGAGAUGAGUUCUCCCUGACUCCUUGA
rnacentral:rRNA from 1 species